GCUGGGGCUGCUGCAGGUGUCCCUCCUGGCCAGGUACAGGUGUCCCCUCCCUGCCCAGCUGCAGGUGUCCCUCCUGGCCAGGUACAGGUGUCCCCUCCCUGCCCAGGUACAGGUGUCCCUCCUGGUCACUGCAGUGUCCCC